UACAGCGGGCGCGAGCGUUGUCCGGAAUUACUGGGCGUAAAGAGCUCGUAGGUGGUUUGUCGCGUUGUUCGUGAAAUCUCACGGCUUAACUGUGAGCGUGCGGGCGAUACGGGCAGACUAGAGUACUGCAGGGGAGACUGGAAUUCCUGGUGUAGCGGUGGAAUGCGCAGAUAUCAGGAGGAACACCGGUGGCGAAGGCGGGUCUCUGGGCAGUAACUGACGCUGAGGAGCGAAAGCGUGGGGAGCGAACAGG
rnacentral:rRNA from 1 species